UUUUCAGCAUUAAAACUCCUCAAUAUUAGUUUCUUUUCCAUCAAUAAAGCGUCCCUACAUCAAAAUGUACUUAGGAAUUUUUACAACCCUUUACAAAAUGAAUCUAGGAAUUUUUAUAGGAAUCUAUGGCUCCUAAAUCUACCUCCUAAGUUAAAAAUUAUAGUCUGGAAAAUAUCAUGGAACUAUAUUCCAACUCGGGUCAACUUGAACUACAGAAGGCUUUCAAACAACGUGACAUGCGUUGGGUGUGGCAGAGCAGCAGAAUCCACAAAUCAUAUAUUUCGUGAAUGUCCUAUGGCAAGAACAGUAUAGGAAGAGUUAUUAUUCUCAGAAGUAUUACAAGCUCCUUAUAUGGAUUUUGUACAGUGGCUCACCUGGGUUUUUGAAAAGAACUCCCCCAAUCAACGACGGAUCUUUUACUGUGCUCUUUGGGCAAUAUGGGGAGAAAGGAAUAAGAGAGUGCAUGAAAAGACUAAUAGAUCUAGGAAAGAGAUAGCAUUUUUUAUAAAGAGAUAUAUUAGUGAAUUGAAUUAGAUUGAAGCAAAAGUACCACAGGUUAAAAUAGGAGGCAGAGAGUGGAAACACCCACCGGAUCAGUUUGUAAAAGUCAACUUUGAUGCAGCCUAUGAUGGGAACCUACGGCAAUCGGCAGCAGGAAUUGUGGCUAGGGAUAGCGAAGGAAAUACUCUUUUAUCAUGUACAGAGAUUCAUCAUCAUCAACUCAAAUAGGCAGGGACAUGCAAUGGCCAAACAUUAUUAUUGAAGGGGAUGCAUUAUCAAUUAUAAAGAAGUGCAAACUAAAAAGUUAUGAUAAAUCUAUGAUCGGAGCAUAUAUCCAAGAUAUACAUCAGCUACUGGAAAAAUCUGGAAAAUGCUAUUUUGAGUACAUUCCCAGAGAAGCGAACAGCCUAGAACAUAAACUAGCGAUGGAGACAUUAAAGAAAAAAGAAAGUCUUACCUGAUUGGAAGAGUCCCGGGGUAUGCUGAGAACCUGGAAGAAACUGAAAAAAGGGCAGGAACAAAUGUGGAGAAGAAAUGAAAGGUUACAGAAAAAAGAAGUUGUAUAGUGGAAAUUCAAAGGCGUGGUGGACAAGGCUUCAUUGAAAUCUGGAAACGUCUCAUUGAUGAAAUGAAAGAUGAUUUUGAAAAAACUGAAAUGGAUUUUUCUGAUUAGGCAAGAUAUGAUGGCAUUUAGGGCCCGUUCUUCUGCCCGUUUUAGAAGCACUUUUAGGGAAAAAAGUCCUUCUUCCUGAAAAGGAAGAAAGAACAAACUCCUUUUCUUCAAAAAAAUUCACUGUUAGAAAAUCACUUCUCUCCAGAUGCGAAGCUAAAAAUUUCUCCUUUUCUUCAGCUUGAAGUGCUUUUGGCUGGAAAUUGACCAAAUUAACCUGUCUCUUCUCCCACAAACGUUCUUUCCCCUCUUCUGCUGGUUCUUUGGAACUGUCUUCUCCCACAAACUUGCUUUUGGCUGAAAAGAAUAGAAAUUUGAUUUCUCAUUCAGGUUAUUAGGUUCUAGAGGAUUCUGAUUUUUAUGUUUUUUAGGGCUGUUUUCUAGUUUCUUUUAAAGAUUUGGACUAUAGGUUUUUGCUUUGUUCUUCGGGCCAAAACUUGCAUCUGGUUUUAGCCUGAG
rnacentral:lncRNA from 1 species